rnacentral:rRNA from 1 species
UGAAUACGAGAUGCUACGGCGUCGAAGCAGUCUAUGUCAUACUUCCAAGAAAAGCUUGCACUGUCAUAAACAAAUAAUGCCUGUACCAUAACCGACACAGGUGGGUAGGUAGAGUAUACUAAGGGGCGCGAGAUAACACUCUCUAAGGAACUCGGCAAAAUGACUCCGUAACUUCGGGAGAAGGAGUGCCUUAUUUAUAAGGUUGCAAUAACAAGAUCCAAGCAACUGUUUACCAAAAACACAGGUCUCCGCUAAGUCGUAAGACGAUGUAUGGGGGCUGACGCCUGCCCAGUGCCAGAAGGUUAAAGAAGUUGGUUAGCAUCCGCGAAGCUGAUAACUGAAGCCCUGGUGAACGGCGGCCGUAACUAUAACGGUCCUAAGGUAGCGAAAUUCCUUGUCGGGUAAGUUCCGACCCGCACGAAAGGCGUAAUGAUUUGGAUACUGUCUCGGAGAGGGGCUCGGUGAAAUAGACUUGUCUGUGAAGAUGCGGACUACCUGCACCAGGACAGAAAGACCCUAUGAAGCUUUACUGUAACCUGAAAUUGAAAUUGGACUUUACUUGCGCAGUAUAGGUGGGAGGCGUUGAGAAUAUUCUUGCGGGAUUAUUGGAGCCAUCAGUGAGAUACCACUCUUGUAAUGUUAGAUUUCUAACUUUGUAUCAUUAUCUGGUCAAAGAACAGUUUCAGGCGGGCAGUUUGACUGGGGCGGUCGCCUCCUAAACGGUAACGGAGGCGCACAAAGGUUUCCUCUGAACGGGUAGAAAUCGUAUCUAGAGUGUAAAGGCAUAAGGAAGCUUGACUGUGAGACCUACAAGUCGAGCAGGGACGAAAGUCGGUCUUAGUGAUCUGACGGUGCUGAGUGGAAAGGCCGUCACUCAACGGAUAAAAGUUACUCUAGGAUAACAGGCUGAUCUCCCCCAAGAGUUCACAUCGACGGGGAGGUUUGGCACCUCGAUGUCGGCUCAUCGCAUCCUGGGGCGGUAGUACGUCCCAAGGGUUGGGCUGUUCGCCCAUGAAAGCGGUACGCGAGCUGGGUUCAGACCGUCGUGAGACAGUUCGGUCCAUAUCCGGUGUAGGCGUUAGAAUAUUGAGAGGAGCCUUCUUUAGUACGAGAGGACCGAGAAGGACAUACCUCUGGUGUACCAGUUAUCGUGCCAACGGUAAACGCUGGGUAGCUAUGUGUGGAGUGGAUAACCGCUGAAAGCAUCUAAGUGGGAAGCCCACCUCAAGAUAAGUAUUCUCAU